GUAAGGUCGAUUUCUUAGAGUCCAGGAGACAGGGAUGAGGUGGAGAGGUCUGUGGGCAGAUAAGGGAGAGGGAGGUGGGGGCUGUUGGAAAAUUUCCAAGGCCUUGGGAAAGGUGGGGGUUUUACCAGCGGGGACUGAAGGACUGAAGAGGAAUAGAUUUACUUAUGUCAGUGUUACUCAUGUAUCAGGUUUAGGCAUGUAUCAGUUAAAUAUCAUAAAAUCAUAUAUCAUGUUUUAGUAUCAUCAUAUAACAAUCAUUUUCUUUGCUUCUUUGUUUUAGUAUCAUCUCUUUCUUUAAUAUCUAUCAUUCAUUAUAACAUUUAUCAUGUUGUUUAGACAUAAUCGGUUAUGGAAGAAAGCACUUAGAAAGAUUACAGCACUUGUGGGUGAAAUGAUGUUGUCAUACGCUUAUGACAUGUUGUAUUGUUGUAUUGUUUAUCUUACACUUAUGAUAUGUUGUAUUGUUGUAUUGUUUAUCAUUAUAUGGUGUAUUUUACUUAUUAGUAUAAUUUGUGGAACAAGUAACAACAAUCUGAAGGCGUACGUGCCGGAGAGAACGCCUACGUGCCGGAGAGAAUCUCUGCCAUGGCGAGGUGGAAAAAUACCGGGUCAGAGUGACCCGAUGGCCAGCUGCAUGAUUAAGAAAGAGGGCGGGGCUGACAGUGAAAGUUUUAGAUAAAAGGCGCUGUAUGAGACGGAGAGAUACAGACAUCGUCCCGACGGGGGCUCCAUGCGGGGCGGCCCUGGGCCCUUUGCGAUCUCCGGACUUUCGGACUUAGAGAAAUUAGAGCAUCCGAUCUCCGUACUUUCGGACUUAGAAAAAUUAGGACAUCCUCUCUCCAACACGCUACAGAUAUGCGUGUCUUAGCCCACCGGGGCAAAGAAGACUACUGGCUGUGGGACCAUUUGAUGAGAAUAUCCUGGCUGUGGGACCAUUUGAUGAGACCGACCCUCCGUGACCGAGGAGAGAUAGAGCUCCUCUCUCUCUCUCCCUACUGUCGACACCGGAGAAGCGUAGUGUAGAGAGGUAAGAAUCAGGAAUCGAAAUUAUUAUAGACUAAAUUAGCUUUAUAAACAAACCCAAUUUAUUAGGCACUAUAUUAUAGGAGAGAUAGGGAUUCCCUCUCUUUUCCUCUGUCAACACCGGCGUGGAACACCAGCGCUGCUCACUUCUCGAGGACACGGAGCGGCCCGUAUCAGAUAGGGGCCAUCGGAGCAACAUUCCAGCGCAGCUCACCCUCCCCAAUCUGAAUCAGUGUGGGGGCCAACGACAAGGGAACAACGGCCUUUCUCCUAACACAGCUGAGGGGAGUGUUGAACAUAGUGCAGAGAGGUGAGAAAACCGGAAUCUAAAUUAUCGUAGACAAACCCACCAAGAUGUGUUCCAGAGGUAUUUUAUGUCACUUAUUUAGAAGUGUCACUGACGGCAUUUUAUUAGUCACUAUAUUAUAUGUAUUAACAUGUUUUUUUUUGAAGGCCUUCACCGCUUGCUGCAAUGUCCCAGAUAUUAAUCCUGCAAAUAAAACUAUAUUCAAACCA